rnacentral:rRNA from 1 species
AACGAAGUAGCAAUACUUAGUGGCAGACGGGUGAGUAACAUGUGGGUAUCUACCCUUUGGCCUGGAAUAACACGAGGAAACUUGUGCUAAUACCGGAUAAGUCUUUACGGAGAAAGCUUUAUGCACCAUUGGAUGAGCCUGCACUUGAUUAGUUUGUUGGUGGGGUAAUGGCCUACCAAGACUGUGAUCAAUAGCUGAUUUGAGAGGAUGAUCAGCCACAUUGGGACUGAGACACGGCCCAAACUCCUACGGGAGGCAGCAGUGGGGAAUCUUGCACAAUGGAGGAAACUCUGAUGCAGCGAUGCCGCGUGAGUGAAGAAGGCCCUUGGGUUGUAAAGCUCUUUCGUCGGGGAAGA